ensembl:lncRNA
AUUUUCAAUAAAGUUCAAUAAAGUAUCAACAGGCUUUUCUGUGAAACUUUGGUUAGUUCACCAGUUUUGUUCUGUUUUUCUGUCAGUUUUAAUAAAGUUUUUCCUGCAGGUUUUGAACAAGUUGUUUGAACUUGUUUCAAAAGCAUUUUGGCUAAUAAAGGAAAAACUAUAUCAAGGAAAUGUCUCAAAAAUGAUUCCUGCUUCUGGUUUUUAGGUUGAUUGACAAUAAUUCAAAUUUGACUCCUUUUUCAUUAGUUCUUGAUCUGGACAGAAGUGUGUCUUUGUGUUUGUGCAGGAUGUUAAACUGGGUUGUCAAAGUCGUACCCCAACCACCUGAGCCGCCGUCCAAAAUCGCAGAGGGUCCGAAGGGCGGCAAACAAAGUGCUGCCCCCCCUGUCGCCGAAGCUCCGCCUCCUCCUCCUGAGAAGAAAGUGAAGUUUCAAGAUGAAUGCAAAAACGAAGCUUCAAAGGCUGAGAAUUCAAAGCAGGAGAACCAAGCAGCGGCAGGAAACGGUCCUGCGCCUGGGGUGCUGACCUGGAUCAGCAGCUCUCUUCCACAUCCUGCAGCCUCACCAAGCCUGAACAGAGCAAUCCCCGCCCACUCCACCAAGGAGGAGGCUGCAGCGCUCAGUAGACCUGAAGAAGAAAAGGGGAUGAUGGCCUGGAUCUCUCAGGGCUUGGAGAAGGUCGUUCCUCAGCCUGAGCUGAAGAGCAAAGAGCCCACAGCAGCGGAGCAGCCUCAGGUGCGUCAGACAGCGCCUCCUGCAGAAUCUCAGGUCACAGCGAAGGAGGCGGAGAGCGACCAAAGUGAGAAGUUAGGCCCGCCCAGGAUGAUGGAGUGGAUCAAACAUGGAAUCGAGAAGGUGGUUCCUCAUCCGGAGAGUCACUCCACCAACGAGAAGACUGAAGCUAAAGGUGCUUCUACUUCGCUGUUGAGAGUCACUGAUGAUGAUGAUGAUGAUGAUGACCUUCAAUUCCACUCGUGGUGUCUUUUGUUUGUUUCAGUGAUCAAAGUUCUGGCUUCGGCUCCAAAACCUCCCUCAGAGACAGAGCUCACCAAUGAAGCAGAGCAGCAGCCAAAUAUGAUGGGCUGGAUCGUCAGUGGGAUCGGCCGCAUGCUGCCUCAGCCAGUCCUGAAGCCGGACGCAGGAAGUGACGAGGUGCAGACGAUCAGCAUCACUCAGAAGAACACAGACCUGCUGCUUGAGGACGUGGAAGAAGAUGAAGCCAAGAAGGGGAAAGAGGAGCCCAAGCCGAGAGGCAGUCAGCCGCCGUCCAAAAAGGUGCCUGAAAAUAAGACUGUUAGUUUGAACACAGAUGACGUCAGAAUGAAGCCUGUUUAUAGCAGAUUAAAUGUCCUAAAACAGCUUUAAAAGCUUCUGUUAGUUUCAUGAUCCUACAGAAGACACUAGGACUUCAGGUUUGGAUCUCUAGAAAUUCCUACAAGAACCCAAACAUUUCUAUGGUCCCCAUUCUGGAUGCAACCGAAAUGAUGACGCGCUCUGUGGUCAGCCCGUCCUUCUGUCAAAAUUAGAGAGAGAAAUGAACGCAGAUGGAGAACGACAUGCAAAGAUUCUGCUGCUAUGCUUUCUGUUGUGGUCCGUCUCUGGCGUAGUGACUCCAAAGCAGACAGAUGUUAGAAUCCUCUGCCAGUGUGACGUCACCUCCAGCAGCUUUAAGGUUGUCCUGCGGUUGUCGAGGUCCUGAACUCUCAGCCACACCCAUCAUUUAUGAUUCUUACUGACAAACCAAAAAAAUAAAAAAAUAAGACUCCAUUCUGUUUUGUAUAUUUUAAAAAGUAACUUCCUAAAAUCUUUAAUUAAAAGUAUGAACAGUUUUACUGUGAUUUGUUUCAGUCAGAGUCUCAUUUGGUGCAUUUCCAGAGUUUUAUCACAUUCAGCUUCUGCUUUGGGAAUUUGCAGUUUUUUCUUUGAGAAGCACUUUCGGAUGAUCAUUUUUGUGAAGGAAUUGAAUCCAUUUAACCUCAGACUGUAGAGAUGGAGACACGACAGCACAGUCAGCUGACCGGCUCCACCAUCAAGCAAAGUGUCCGUUUUAAAACCUGGUUAGAUCCAGAUCAUCAUUGAAACGCGUUCAUUUCAAGAACUUGAUUCUGUUUCCGUUUCUGGAGCUUUUUUGUCCUGAAGUGCAGUCAGCAAAUGUUUGUGAAUGUUUUCAGACCGACGAUGCAGAGACGCAGGUGGAUCAGCUGACUCCUCUGGUGGACAGCAUCAAGAGAGAAGCUG